rnacentral:siRNA from 1 species
AGCAAAUACAGCUGAGCAGCAUCC